rnacentral:tRNA from 1 species
CAAAAUAUAGCUUAUAUUUAAAGUGGAUUAUUUACAUUAAUUUGAAGAUUGCUAAUUAGUUUGUUUUGA